rfam:Frankia sp. ETN1f ctg00052, whole genome shotgun sequence.
CCUCGGGGACCUGCUGCGGGCAGAUGAAGUGCACGUGGGUGUCGACCGCGCCGGCGGUGAGGAUCUUCCCGUUCCCGGCGAUGAUCUCCGUGCUGGGGCCGAUGACCAGAUCCGGGUGGACGCCGUCCAUGAUGUCGGGGUUGCCGGCCUUGCCGAGGGCGACGAUCCGCCCGUCGCGGACGCCGACGUCCGCCUUGACGACACCCCAGUGAUCGAGCACCACCGCGCCGGUGAUCACCAGGUCGGGCGCGCCCUCGGCCCGGGUGGCGCGGGCCUGGCCCAUCGACUCGCGGAUG